UACGUAGGGGGCAAGCGUUGUCCGGAUUUAUUGGGCGUAAAGAGCGUGUAGGCGGCCAGGGAGGUCCGUUGUGAAAACUCGAGGCUCAACCUCGGGCUUGCAGUGGGUACGGGCAGACUAGAGUGCGGUAGGGGUGACUGGAAUUCCUGGUGUAGCGGUGGAAUGCGCAGAUAUCAGGAGGAACACCGGUGGCGAAGGCGGCGAUCUGGGUGGUGACUGACGCUGAGGCGCGAAAGCGUGGGGAGCAAACAGG
rnacentral:rRNA from 1 species